rnacentral:lncRNA from 1 species
UAAAAAAGAUUGAUAGAGGAGUGAGGAGACAUUUUCAUGAUGAUAUAACUGUGAUUGUCGUGUUUCUUGAUUCACAUCUCGUCAGUAAAAGUGUCUCACGACGACCACUCAUCUCUAUCUCAGGCGGUGGUGACUUGGCUGGUGGACCUUCUACCACUUGACAGUUGACACACUCUCACCACAAUCUAUAAAUAUUCUAUAUUUACAUAUCCACUUUUUAUAUAUAACACAUUGCAGAGAAACACUUCAAGCUCCUUUUUUCUUUAUAUAAAUUUCAUUUUAAUUCAUUUCCAAACAAAAUGAUGAGUUGAAACACAAAUGUACGAUAAAGAGAUUUAUCAUUUGUUGGAAAGAUUUGAUUUACUGAUUGCAUCGUCUUCCAUUUUUUUGCUUCUGUUGUCUUUUAUUACGUAUCAACAUGAACAUGAAUGAAUAUGUGUUCAUGUUGAUAUAUUGUUAAAUGCUGUGUGUUUACGAAUUGUUUAGUACUGAUGAAGGAUAUUAUCGAAAAUGAAUAAAACCAUACAUAUAAGAAAACAGAGAAAGACAGCUCCAUGAAAACGGAUCUUGUCACCUUGGCAUGUGAUGGCCGUUGAAUAAUGUCAUAACCAAGACAACGCGAAUGAGGAGUUAUAGGUCAUAAAUGCUGGAAAAGCUCUGAUAAAUACUACUUAGUAUUCUCUCAUCCAGGUUAUAUGUGAAACAGUUGAUAAAAAAAAUAGUUCCACGUAAAUAUUAUCAUAAGAGCUAAUCAAAUCAAUGGUAACAGGGCAGGGUGGUCCGGAGUAUGGGCAAAGGAACCGAACGCUUAGGACAUCAUAAUUUUAGUUGUAAAUAGGGCAUUUUAAAAAAUUUGCAUGAAUAAUAAGGGCGUAAAAUUUGAAAUGAGCACAGGGCAUUAAAAAAAUGAAAAUGUUGGAGUGCCCACUGAGGGAGAUGCUUAAAUGGCUUCUGUAUGACCGACCACAUGAAUCACAUGUAGAGUAUUUAUAGAGGCCCAGCUUUGUGGAAAAUUUGUUUUAUUAAGUGUUAUCUCUAAUCACCGGUACAUUAUCCCACUAUAUAAAAAGGGCUAUUUUUAAGCGUCCUAAGGCUAUCCACACGCUCAAAAUAAUCAGGGCCAAUCAAAUUGCUACGUCACUGCCAGAUUGGGCUUGAAAUUUUUUUUAAAAAAAUUAUAUGAAUCCAGUUUGGCCCAUCUCGAAGCCCGAGCAUAUUCCCGUGUUCAUUUUGUUCCUAACCCUAAGCGCCGUCUCAUUCUGUUCUACACAUCUCUCUCCUUCAACAUCUAACCUUAUCGCCUCCUCAUUCCUUCGUUGAUUCUCUUCCUUGUGAUUGUCGUGUUUCUUGAUUCACAUCUCGUCAGUAAAAGUGUCUCACGACGACCACUCAUCUCUAUCUCAGGCGGUGGUGACUUGGCUGGUGGACCUUCUACCACUUGACAGUUGACACACUCUCACCACAAUCUAUAAAUAUUCUAUAUUUACAUAUCCACUUUUUAUAUAUAACACAUUGCAGAGAAACACUUCAAGCUCCUUUUUUCUUUAUAUAAAUUUCAUUUUAAUUCAUUUCCAAAC